rnacentral:rRNA from 1 species
UACGGAGGGGGCUAGCGUUGUUCGGAAUUACUGGGCGUAAAGCGCGCGUAGGCGGCUUUGUAAGAUAGAGGUGAAAGCCCGGAGCUCAACUCCAGAACUGCCUUUGAUACUGAAGAUCUUGAGUUCGGGAGAGGUGAGUGGAACUGCGAGUGUAGAGGUGAAAUUCGUAGAUAUUCGCAAGAACACCAGUGGCGAAGGCGGCUCACUGGCCCGAUACUGACGCUGAGGCACGAAAGCGUGGGGAGCAAACGGG